AGGUGAAGGUCCAAAACCUUCCGAGAGAAAAAGAAAGAAAAGAGAGAAAAUUGGACGCAGGGUUUUUGGUGUGUACCCUAGGGUUUCUACCUACGGUUCGGGAAGUGAGAUUGGUGUGCCACGAGUGUCGUGAGUCCACCAAAUUUUAGAGAGAGAUCCAUCAGCCUCUCAAAUAACUGUGCAGAUGAUCCAGAGCAUCCGAGAAGUCGGCACACAUCGAUCGAAGGAGUUCGAUCAACAUCUGCCAUCAAAAGGGUGAAAUCACGAACUAGCAUUCAUGAGGAGCUGAUCAGACGGGAGCUUCGUGUGGACGAUCCACAGAGGCCAGAUAGUUGGGUGGCUGCGACGUGACGAUCAGAGCCCUCCGAUGGUGAUCAGAUUGCGGUGAUCGACUAUCCGCAAAAGGUGAUGUGUUCUGAACACAGUACUGUAAAACGUUUACUGAUUCAAAUUUGAAUU
rnacentral:lncRNA from 1 species